rnacentral:misc_RNA from 1 species
GUGAAUCAUCGAAUUUUUGAACGCAUAUUGCGCUCUCUAGUAUUCCGGAGGGUAUGCCUAUUUGAGGGUCAUUUGAAAUAAUAUGAAUUGCAAGAUGUCGCGGAAUUUAAAACGGGGUGUCCAUUUUUUGUAGUCGCCUAAAAGCCAAGACAAGCUCAUGUUCUUGGGAUGCAUGAUACUUUCAGUUACCUCGUGACUUAACCAGUAAUCAUCGGGCUUGUGAUUAAUUUUGCAAGAGAUGAAAAGUUCCAUAGAUUUAUCUCAGGCUAAAUAGAAAUGGAGGCAUGACCUCAAUUUAUUU